rnacentral:rRNA from 1 species
AGUGAACGCUGGCGGUAGGCCUAACACAUGCAAGUCGAACGGCGGCACAGUAAGAGCUUGCUCUUACGGGUGGCGAGUGGCGGACGGGUGAGGAAUACAUCGGAACCUACUUUUUCGUGGGGGAUAACGUAGGGAAACUUACGCUAAUACCGCAUACGACCUACGGGUGAAAGCAGGGGAUCUUCGGACCUUGCGCGAUUGAAUGAGCCGAUGUCGGAUUAGCUAGUUGGCGGGGUAAAGGCCCACCAAGGCGACGAUCCGUAGCUGGUCUGAGAGGAUGAUCAGCCACACUGGAACUGAGACACGGUCCAGACUCCUACGGGAGGCAGCAGUGGGGAAUAUUGGACAAUGGGCGCAAGCCUGAUCCAGCCAUACCGCGUGGGUGAAGAAGGCCUUCGGGUUGUAAAGCCCUUUUGUUGGGAAAGAAAAGCAGCAGGUUAAUACCCCGCUGUUCUGACGGUACCCAAAGAAUAAGCACCGGCUAACUUCGUG